rnacentral:rRNA from 1 species
UACGAAGGGAGCUAGCGUUGUUCGGAAUCACUGGGCGUAAAGCGCACGUAGGCGGAUGUGUCAGUCAGGGGUGAAAUCCCGGAGCUCAACUUCGGAACUGCCUCUGAUACAGCACGUCUUGAGUCCGAUAGAGGUGGGUGGAAUUCCUAGUGUAGAGGUGAAAUUCGUAGAUAUUAGGAAGAACGACCGGUGGCGAAGGCGGCCCACUGGAUCGGUACUGACGCUGAGGUGCGAAAGCGUGGGGAGCAAACAGG